rnacentral:rRNA from 1 species
AUCGAUAUGUGAAUACAUAGCAUUUCAGAAGGCACACCCGGAGAACUGAAACAUCUUAGUACCCGGAGGAAGAGAAAGAAAAUUCGAUUCCCUUAGUAGCGGCGAGCGAAACGGGAAGAGCCCAAACCAACAAGCUUGCUUGUUGGGGUUGUAGGACACUCUAUACGGAGUUACAAAGGACGACAUUAGACGAAUCAUCUGGAAAGAUGAAUCAAAGAAGGUAAUAAUCCUGUAGUCGAAAAUGUUGUCUCUCUUGAGUGGAUCCUGAGUACGACGGAGCACGUGAAAUUCCGUCGGAAUCUGGGAGGACCAUCUCCUAAGGCUAAAUACUCUCUAGUGACCGAUAGUGAACCAGUACCGUGAGGGAAAGGUGAAAAGCACCCCGGAAGGGGAGUGAAAUAGAACCUGAAACCGUGUG